rnacentral:tRNA from 1 species
GCUGAGGUGGUCGAGUGGUCUAAGACGCUGCACUCAAGUUGCAGUCUCGCAAGAGGCAUGGGUUCGAAUCCCAUCCUCAGCA